rnacentral:rRNA from 1 species
ACGGGAGGCAGCAGUGGGGGAUAUUGCACAAUGGGGGAAACCCUGAUGCAGCGACGCCGCGUGAGUGAUGAAGUAUUUCGGUAUGUAAAGCUCUAUCAGCAGGAAAGAUAAUGACGGUACCUGACUAAGAAGCACCGGCUAAAUACGUGCCAGCAGCCGCGGUAAUACGUAUGGUGCAAGCGUUAUCCGGAUUUACUGGGUGUAAAGGGCGUGUAGGCGGAGAGGCAAGUCAGACGUGAAAUCCCGGGGCUCAACCCCGGAACUGCAUUUGAAACUGUCUCCCUUGAGUAUCGGAGAGGCAAGCGGAAUUCCUAGUGUAGCGGUGAAAUGCGUAGAUAUUAGGAGGAACACCAGUGGCGAAGGCGGCUUGCUGGACGACAACUGACGCUGAGGCGCGAAAGCGUGGGGAGCAAACAGGAUUAGAUACCCUGGUA